CGCGUAGGCGGCGUGACAAGUCACUUGUGAAAUCUCCGGGCUUAACUCGGAACGGUCAAGUGAUACUGUUGUGCUAGAGUACAGAAGGGGCAAUCGGAAUUCUUGGUGUAGCGGUGAAAUGCGUAGAUAUCAAGAGGAACACCAGAGGCGAAGGCGGAUUGCUAGGCUGAUACUGACGCUGAGGCGCGAAAGCUAGGGUAGCAAACG
rnacentral:rRNA from 1 species